GUCAUGCAGGAGAACUACGAGAAUGUGACCUCGCUGGUAGGGUUUCCAGUUUCCAAACCUGACGUGAUCUCCCAGCUGGAAUGGGAGGAGGAGCCGUGGGUCCCAGAUCUCCAGGGCUCAG